AUAAAGGAUGGUACAAACACAGUCUUUACUUUUCCAUUCUUUGUCAUGUAGGAUUUAUGUAUCUCAAUUGCUAGGAUUCAGAGAACUCAAGAAUUCACCUAUAUGUGUUCAUACAGGGCUAAUAUAGGGCUAAUCUUCCUCCUUUAGGAAACUAAAUAUGGUGGUGAGACUUCUAAAGAAAAGUGUGCUCUUUCUCCCUCCCCCUGAUUCCAGGGAGUUCUCAUUGUUUGGUGUAAGGUCUUGGUUGUUAUGGUGACUGUAGUGGGCUGAAUUUGAAGUGAAUUAGAGAAAAUAUUUCACAGAUGAAGAGAAGUCUUGGCCUAUGCAUCAUUCAGUGAGAAGUGUAAAGUUUCCAAAGACCUAAAAACUAUGGUCAAAUAAGUACAAAAUCUCCCAACAAAAAGAGAAGUAAAGAAUACCGAGGCGGUAUCUACCAUUGUGUUUACCUGAAAGAUCUACACUGAGCUAUCUCGAGGUUGCAGUGGUAGUGACGUGUGUGAGGUUGGCUGAGUUAUGGCUCAUGGAAUCUGUUUUGUGGAAUUCACUCUUCUCACAGUAGGAAGAAGGCUUGAAGAGGAUUGGAAAAGAGGAACAGUGCCAUGUAAGUGGUCUCUCCUGUACGAGUUAGCAUUUCCCAACAGAAAUUCUAUGAAACCUCCCACUAACAUAAGUGGAUAAGUGUGAAUGGGGAAGAUGAUUUUAGUGUUGCCUAAAUAAUAUGUUUUCAUAAAUACAGAAACUACUUUUUAGAUAUAUCUUACUCUCCAAGCUCAAACUAGCUGAAUGCCUAUUAUUUGAAUAUCUAUUCUUCCAUCCUACCCUUUGCAAAAAAACCAAAAAUAUUAUGUUUAUAUUGAGCUUCAUGGAAAGAUUUCCACAUUAGUGGACACACGUGUCAGAUGACUUUAACUUGGAAAGCAAGACGAAA
rnacentral:lncRNA from 1 species